UGCCCCAGUCCCAGGAUGCAGAAUGUGAUCAACAAGGUGAAGGGAAAGGCUCUCGAAGUGGCGAGUACCUGACCCCUGUCCUCAAGGAAUCAAAGUUUAAGGAAACGGGUGUAAUCACCCCAGAAGAGUUUGUGGCAGCUGGAGAUCACUUAGUCCACCACUGUCCCACAUGGCAAUGGGCUACAGGCAAAGAAUUGAAAGUGAAAGCAUAUCUACCAACAGAGAAACAGUUUUUGGUAACCAAAAAUGUUCCAUGCUACAAACGGUGUAAACAGAUGGAAUAUUCCGAUGAAUUGGAGGCUAUCAUUGAAGAAGAUGAUGGGGAUGGGGGAUGGGUAGAUACAUACCACAACACAGGUAUUACAGGAAUUACUGAAGCAGUUAAGGAGAUUACACUGGAAAGCAAGGACAGUAUAAAACUCCAAGAUUGCUCAGCACUGUGUGAUGAAGAAGAGGAGGAAGAUGAAGGGGAAGCUGCAGACAUGGAAGAAUAUGAAGAGAGUGGACUGUUGGAAACAGAUGAGGCUACCUUAGACACAAGGAAAAUAGUGGAAGCUUGUAAAGCUAAAGCUGAUGCUGGAGGUGAAGAUGCUAUUUUACAAACGAAGACUUACGACCUGUACAUCACUUAUGACAAAUAUUACCAGACACCACGGCUAUGGUUGUUUGGCUACGAUGAGCAACGACAGCCUUUAACAGUUGAGCACAUGUAUGAAGACAUCAGUAAAGAUCAUGUGAAGAAAACAGUGACCAUUGAAAACCAUCCUCAUCUCCCACCACCUCCUAUGUGUUCAGUUCACCCAUGCAGGCAUGCUGAAGUGAUGAAGAAAAUUAUUGAGACAGUUGCAGAAGGCGGGGGAGAGCUUGGUGUUCAUAUGUAUCUUUUAAUUUUUUUGAAAUUUGUUCAAGCUGUCAUUCCAACAAUAGAAUAUGACUACACAAGACACUUCACAAUGUAGUGGAGAGAAUGUAGAGUCUAUCCUAAUUACUGCUUCUGAUUUUUAAAGAAUUAAUACAUAGAUGUGACCAUUGACCAUAUUUACCAAUAAUUUCUCUAAUAAUGGGACUUAUAUGUUUAUGCAUUAAAUAAAAACUGUUCUACUACCA